AAGCGUUUAUUAUGCACAUUAUUAUGCCUCAUUAAUUAACCCAGCCACUGUCCCAGUGAUGUUCUGGCCUCGCUUCACAGGAAAACAUUAGUUUGGAUUGCCAAGUUCAAUAGACAAUUACCGGAAGAUCAGAUUGUGCCUGCACUGCAUUCUGUCGGGGCACCAGGCCAAACCAUGUCAGACCCGUAAGGGGGCAACAUCCUCACUCAAAACAGCCCGACAGCCGGCGUCACAAGGAGCUUGACGUCUGCACAGAGGAUGUGGUGGCCCUGCCUGAGCUUCCUUUCUCAGACUGCGUUACAGACCCGAGCGGUUCCCGGGCUGUCCCCACGGCAGCCCGGGCCUUUGCCUGUCCAGUGAGGCGGGGUCUGCUGGGGAAGGCACCCCAGUCCUCAGCUCCUGUCCCUCAUCCGGCCGGCCGGCCGGCAGCUGUCACAGGCCUGCAGAAAGAGCUCAGAUGUUCCAAGGGCAGAAAGCGCACCCAGCCUCGCCUUUCAUGGUGGAGAAGGCUGAGGAUAGAACCCAGGACCUCUAUACCAGCACCUUUGGCACCUUUCAAAGUGAGAGUGACUAAUGUAAAACUGGGGCCGAAGACAGUGAAGAAUGGGGAAGAAGUGUGGCGUUUGGUUUCUACAAACCCUAACGCUAAAGAGCAAUUCCAGAGGAUAUGUCCGCUUUCCAAAAUAGACUCCCUCCAAGGCCCCAUCAAAUAGGAGACGUGUGCCUUGGUUGAGGCCGAUACCCAGCAGGUGAAAGCCAAGGCCAGAAGCAGAAAACCACUGCAGAAGGCACAUGAGUAAGCGCUGGAUAUCUCAGAUCAUGGCUGGACUGCUUCAAAGAAGUAGCAUCAUGGUGGAAGGGAAUGUGGGGCCAAGCUGGGUACCUCGUGGCCUGGAAGCAGAGCCCAGGGAGCGCUGUGCAGAGGUGUACCCACCCACGGCACCCCCUGGGCCACCUGCCUCCACGCAGGUGUCAUCUCCUGACCGCACACCCAGCUGGGAGCACUGAUGAAUCGAUCCACCGGUUCACAGCCUGGUUUAUUCACUGCCUUUCUCUGGCUUGUCUCAGAAAUCUUCAACAUCAAUCUCACCCCUUUGAACUGGGAAAGGCUCUCUUUGGGACACCCAAAUUCCCCCAGACUCAAAAAUUGUUAAGGCUCACCGGAACUUGUUAAUUUGAUAAGUUAAAGACCUAAUGAUACACAGAUAGCUAUGCGCACACAAACACUUCGUAGUCUCUAUACCAUACUGACUAGUAGGCUGAUUGGCAGAGAUAUCUAAAAGGCCGAAAGCCCAGUGACCCAGCCACAGUAGGAUUCAAGUCCAGUCUUCUGAGUAUUUCUUUUAGAAGCUGCUGCUAUGGCCCAGGGUUUCUGUGUCAUCAGUUCUGGCCCACUGGGUGGCUGGAGGAGGGCAGGAAUGGACAGGUUGCUGGAAAAAGGGGCUGUGUGGCCGACAUGCUUGCAAUUUAUAGCACAUCUCUGCUGAGCACACUUGCAAAAGCCAUCACACUGCUGCCACACGCUUCAAGGAAGAGCUGGUGUUGAGGACGAUGAAGACUCUCUGCACCGAGGGCCCUCCGGCAAGCCAGGAACAUCUGUCACCAAUAUUUCUCCUUCCAAUGGCACCUGCGGCUUCCCUACCCACCCUGCAUACUUCCUGCUGCCUCUCUUCACUUCCCCUCACCUCCAUGAAACACAGGCGCUGUGUAGGGGAGGUCUGGCGGGUGUCUGUGUGAUUUAGAGCCCGGGCUUCAGUGUCUGAGCUCACAUUCCAGGCCUGACAACUGAGUCCCAUAAACUCUCCUGUCACUUCCCGGCCCCUCCUCCGGCUCCUGCCCUGGAGCUCCCCUCCCUCGCUCUGUAAACUCCGGGAGUUUUGCUUCCAAGGGCUCACAUUUGGAGGUAGGAAUUACAAUGGACUUUCAGGAGCCAAAGCAAACCCUACAGUGAGAGGAUGAACCCCACUCAAAGAGCUCUGCACGCAUCAUCACCUCAAGUCUGAGGCGUGGCAGAGUCACAGGCUAGAGAAGGAGGAAAAUUCGGGAUUUUCGAAAAAGUAAAGUAUGCUUCAUCUGGAUGCAGUAAAUUUUAUUUUUAUGAAGGUGGUUGUAAAUUUCAAUAAAUCUCCUACUUUGAGCUCCCAGGGUAAGAGUUAUUUGAACCCCGCGCCUUUCCCAGGGGUGGCAUGUGAGGCUGGAGAGCACCUCUGGUUCCUGGCCUCCAUCCGGGUGCCUCUGCAGUGCCUCCCACUGACUCUGGACAGCGCCGGCGGUGGGGAGGAGGAAUCCCACUCGGGGAAAAUCAGAGCCAUAAGGUGCGCUGGCCCGGGGGCCUCCCACAGUUCUUGAGUUCAUAACCCACCCCUCUGCGGGGCCAGGAUGGCGGUGGGGCUGCUUGGAACCCGCCUCUCUUUGCUCAGACAUUCACACUGCUGGCGGCGGCCACGCCGAAGGAAGACACGGAGCCCAUCGGUCGGAAGCACAGGAGACAGAAGGUGAGAGGCAAGCUAGGCACUGCCUGGAGCCAGACUGCACCCCAUCUGCGGGACAGUGGGUGUCAACGGGCACCCUUCUCCCCUCUCUGGAUAUUUUCUGCCACCAGGACGGAAUUUGUGAGAGGUCACUCGGAUGGCACAGGUCCCUGCCCUCCCUGCAGCUGCGGCCUCACUAGGUGCCCCUGAGUGUCGUCUGCUCUGACGUGGCCUUGGGCCUGCAUUUGCUUUAGACAAGGAUGUUAGCAAACGAGGUUCACACAGAGCUUGGACAGACUUGCUGCUGGGCCACUUCUCACUUGGGAACCAUUUGGUACCCAUGGGAAAGGACAUCACCUGAAGUGAACCCAGGGGCAAGGCCUGAAGCUCCAUUUGGACAGAAAGAGAGCGACAGGAAUAGAGAUUUCCCCCUCUGAUGUGACAAAUACAUCGUGCCAGAACUGAUCUUUGCCAGAAGUUUCUCCCGAUUGACUUUGGGCUCCUGAGUUACGAAUUCUGGUCCACAGAAUUAGACCUGGGUGUGCUGGAGGAAGGAGGAACCUCCCUCCAUCUUACGUCCAUCAGCCUGGUUGCCCUGCUCGGCAGUGUAGUCCACGAUUUCUUCUCCAAACCCUUGUGGCUGUGUGAGUUUCAGAAACAGAGAGGGUCACAGAACACCAAGGGGCACGUAACGUCUCCACUGCCGUCUCCAGGGGCCUCGGCCCUCACCCACGGCCACGCUUUUGCAGCGAUGUGUAGGAAUAGUCAUCUUGGUGCCGUUAAAUCUCCAAAUCACAUAGGUCAGUGGAGCUGAAUGCUUGGCCCCAGACACAGUUGGAAAUUUGGAAAUGCCUAUGCCCGGAGAUGGCUUCCUGUCUGGAUUUGGUGGGUAGGAACCAGCACUGCCUGGUCCUGCAUAUUCUUUCUGCUCUAGAGACUUCAGGGAAGCGGAUUCCCACUCGGAGCCAUGAAGUCGUAGGAUUUAUAGUGUUAAGCCUGGCCAAAUGACGUUCUCCUCAGGGAGAGGCAGUGCGACCCACAGCAGCCAUGAGAACUCGGUUCUCCCUGGGCAGUGAGUGCUUUUCUGACCUGGACCGAAGCGAGGAAGAAGUUGGGAGGAAUUUAAACUUCACUGGACAUUUUGUCACCUGGACUUCAUGAAAGUGGGGGCGGGGUGCCAGAGCUCUAGCUGACUGUCCUGGGUGGAAGGAGCUGAGCUAGGGAUGCAGAGAAAGCCAAAGUGGACAGACACAGGGGAAGGACAUGGAGCUUUCAGGGCUGUGGCUCAAGGCUCACGGGGAACAGGGGCCUCUCCCACCCCGACGGCAUGGACGCCGGCUAGGACGGAAUCAGCCUUCAUCCUGCAGUCCCUAGAGGACAGGGAUUUCCCAUCUGUCCCUGUGUGGACUCCAGAGGCUCGGGUGGGGAGGGCUCCCUGGGGACAGUGCUGACAGAGUUGAGGGGGCCCAGAGCACACAGGCACUGAGAGGCACAAGACCACUAUCGGUGUUGCAAAGUAUGCAUUCACUGGAUGGCUGAACUAAUGAAUAAAUUGACUUUACCUUUUUCGAAGAAGACCACUCACUAGACAAACCUAGGGUUCUAUUUUUAGACAAAAGUUGAGACUUUCCCGCAUGUUUUCAACUACUGUCUACUAAUGCUAUGUACUCAACAUAAGGACAAGGUAUGCCUUUCUUUGAAUGCACUGCACCUCGGGGUGCCCUGAGCCUCCUACAAUACACAUAACUUGAUUUCUUUUGAGAGGUGACCUGCUACUCUGAUAAAGAUUCUGCUAACAAAUGUCACAAGAUAAUUAUCUGAUAAUUUCCAUUUUUCCACUAGAAAAAGAAUCCCCUCUUUUGUAGUUUAUUCCAUGUCUGAUGUCACGAAGUGGCUUGGUGGAGCUGCCAGCACGGAAGCCAGUGUAAUCAGACUCAGGGGCAAUGCUGCCUGGCCCUACCAUCUGCUGUCCACAAACAGCGUGUCACUACCGCCUUUGCCGACCUUGUGCUCUGUGGUUAGCAUUUCCUGGCAUACCGGAAAAAUCUGUAUCUGCAGCACAGGCUUCCUACUCUAUUGACAGCCUUUGGGAUUUGUCAUAAACUGGAUUGGCCCAGGAGGAGCAGGUGUUUUCAUCAUGACUGUCACAGAACAGUUAAACUCACGAUCCUGAGAACCUGCCAACGUUUCUGAGUCAGGCUCCUUUCUGAAGAACCGUGUGAUGCUGGGCUUUGUUCUGCUUCCUACUUCAGGCCCACUGUGGGCCUUUUGUGCCCCUGGCUGCUUUGAAGAAGGGUGGCGGGCUUCCUGCAGCCCCUUCUGCAAGUGGACAGCUGUGGAAACAGUGCAACAGUGAAGCAAACAUCUCACUCCACGGACGCUGCUGCAGUCUUUAUCCUUGGCCCCUUGCUCUGCCCAUAGGACCUGUGAGACUAAGGAACAUUUCUCCCUCAGAGUCUGCCCUGGGAUCUGCCAGGGUCACUCUCAGUCCUCAGCCAUGGUCAGGUAACCAUGGGGCAUGGUCCACCCAGGCUCCGUUAUUUGGGCCCAGCAGCUGGCCCCAGUGGGAGGGCACCAGGAGGGCACUGCCCUACAGAGGCAUGAGGUCAUGUAACUCGCGUGGUGAGUCAUACAGCUUCACCACAGAUCACACUUUAACACGAAUUUCCUCUAUCAAUUUGCCAUUGGAACAGCUCCUCUGGACAUUUAGAAAACAGGAGCCACACUUCGAGUGCUUCACUCUUGCAAGGAUGCCAGUGUGCCUCUCUAGUACUCACUGCGUGUUCUAGAAUAAACUGAGGCCAGUGGACAUAAGUUGCAGCACCUUUCUUGCAUUAUAAAUAAAAUAUGGAUGCAGAAGUCACCCAGAGCCAUCACCGAGGGCUGUGAGCUAUUGUGGAGCAGCCUCCCCGUUGCCAGCAGGAGCUAAGCCUGCCCUCUCCUCAGAGCAAGUUCACAUCACACUGCUCUGCCCCGGAUUUAACCACCAACUCCAUUGCUUCCCUAGGGCUUCCUCAUGCUUCCAUAGCCCCAGUGAGCACCCUUGGCGACUUCGGUGAAAACAGAAAUGCUCUCCAGGCACUCCCUGCAUCACGUCAAUUUUCUCUGAAGUUCACCUGCAGAGUGGGGUGCCCAUCGGUCAGUGCGGGGCCACCCGGCUCAGGGAGCACCUUCCUCUGGUGGUGACUUGUGCCGCUCCAUGCCAGGAUCACUGCUGCUGGGGGUCGCUAGUCCCGCUGCCGCUCAUUAGGCAGGCAGCUUUGUGGCAGAGCCUCCGCUCCGCUCCGUCCCUUCUGCACUCUGGUCCCUCCUGGUAGCCGGCCCUGCUCCCCUCCCCCAGGUCCCCCUCUGUGUGGCUCUGCCUGGGAUUGGACACCUGAGGCCGGCCUGGAGAACCCGCUGGGGUCCUCUACCCCAGCCCACUUGGCCCGACCUCGCUCCCCUUCACCAGGGGCGUGGGCCUCUGGCUGAGCCCCUUCCCUGUCCCCUGGCUGUUCUGCUCUCUGCUGGUCUGCUGGUCUCUGCAUCUCAGGCUGCCCCAACCCCACCCUCCGUGUGUGGCUUCUGCCCAUGUGUCGACAUCCCUUUGUUGUCUGAGAGCCGUGGAGACAAACUGAUGCCGUUUACCUUCAAGCAUAGUUUGUGUGUGUCUGUGUUGCCGGCUGGGUCUUUCACUUCUCCCAACUUGGAGAGAUCGGAAAGCCAGUGGCUGAUCCCAACACCCUCUUCCCGGGGUCCCCUGCGGCCUGGCCUUCAACUGUGAGUCAUGGCCCAGAGGUGUGGGGAGCAGAGGCGCAAGAAGACAUCCAGCGACAGAUUGAUUCUCUUUCCUAAGUACCAGGACUGCAGUUCGUACCAAGAGGGCACCGAUCGUUGUCCUAGAGUCUCCUUGGUUGGGCCCCGUUUGCUGUCUGGUGAGGACAGUCUCUCGGGGAAUAAACCCCUAGCUCUGUGGCUGGACCCCGAAUUCAUAGCCAGCUGUGCUGCCGAUGAGCCCCGCGAGCCUGGGGAGUUGCUGCGAUUGAUUACCUGAGCUCACCGAAAUUCAGAAAGAAAAGGACCUGCGCUCCCAAGUCCAGUUGCUCAGGGUAACCCACGCUGUCCUCCCCGCUGCCUGCCCUCCUGCUGUCCCCACCAGGAAUUCCAGCUUCGUUUGUUUGUUUCUGCAGUGCUGGGGAUGGAACCCAGGGCGUGGAACCCAGGGCGUGGUGCGCCAGGCAGGUGCGGUCCCGAGCUCCAGCCCCGCCCUCUUGGAUCCCAGAGGGUGUCACUCAGUAAAUAUCUUCUGAAUUUGCUCACUUUCUCCGUCUCCACCACCACGUCUCGGUCCCUCUGUGCCCAGUGCUGUCUCCUGCCCGGGCCGUGAAACUCUCCAGGCGCCUCUCAGUUCAUUGCCUCAGCUAAGGCGGAGCAAUCUCCACACAUCCGGCCGCCCCCCUGCGGAGUCAGGGACUGACCACGCGGAUCCCUUCUCCGCUCUUCGCGUUGCUCAGGGUUCAGGCGAGAAGGGCUGAACUGCGCGCCUCUCUCCAGCUGCCGCCUCCACUCAGCCACGCCGGCCACGCCUGUCUCGGACUUCGCCCACACCUGUGCCGUGUCCCUUCCUCGCUCCCAAGGAACCCCGGGGAUGCUGUAGACCUCAGCACAGCACCUCUGCUCUGCCAGCUCUCGCCCCUUUAUGACAGCACAUACUUACCCUCUGUGCGCUCCCCAGCCCUGAAGCUCACCGGGCAGGGAGAAGGUUAUUUUCCCUCGCUACUGUGUCCCAGCACAGUGCUGGGCACAUAGUACUUGGGGCAUUUGGCCUGAACACAUGAAUGUCGUAAACAUCUGACUUGCAUUGUGAACUGGCUGAAGCCAUUUAGCUUUACACCACCAUUUAGUACUUUUUAUUAGAUGUUUUACAUUAAAUUCUUUUUACAGAAAUCACCUCAGUGACCAGCAGCUUGCUGCGGGUUGGGGGUCAGUGGCUUCCACGGAGCCUCCCCAUGGGAUGUGGUGACAUGAAGGCUCGGGUGACAUUUCCGCUCACGCACAUCCACACUCACCCCUGCCCCCGGGCACCACGUAGGGAGUCCACUGCUGAUUGGUCAUCUGAGAAAACUGCUUGAAAGUUGCAACUAGGGGGACGCAGGGGUAUCCGUACUGGGAUUGAUCCAUGUGUGACGACUGGGGACAAUUUUCUCCAGGUUGUAACAAUUGGGAUGUUCAGAAUUUCAACAUUUUCUGCACUCUCCAAAUUCAGAGUGAUUAUACCUUUAAGCAAAGCCACCAAAGCCUAAGACGUUUUAUGUUCCUGACUUACUCGUUUAUCCCAGAUUAUCACUUUGGUAAAAGUCCCUAGGAUAAAAGAGUGGAAUAAAUAAUAAAUCAGUUCCUGCAUAUGGGUAAUUACUCAGGAAUAAAGUAAAUGAAGAGAAAGGAACUUC